UACGUAGGGUGCGAGCGUUAAUCGGAAUUACUGGGCGUAAAGAGUGCGUAGGCGGUUCGUUAUGUCUGCUGUGAAAGCCCCGGGCUCAACCUGGGAACUGCAUUUGAAACUGGCGGGCUUGAGUAUGGCAGAGGGGGGUGGAAUUCCGCGUGUAGCAGUGAAAUGCGUAGAGAUGCGGAGGAACACCGAUGGCGAAGGCAGCCCCCUGGGCCAAUACUGACGCUCAGGCACGAAAGCGUGGGGAGCAAACAGG
rnacentral:rRNA from 1 species